rnacentral:lncRNA from 1 species
CAUCCUCUCUCUUGCUCUCUGGUCCCAGACGGAGAUCUGCUUCCAUCUGACACUGGCCAGGGGGCCGGUCUACGGUCCAAGUCAGGAGAGGAGGAUGGGCUGUGUUAGGACUGAGGGGCGGUGGGACAUUUGAGUGCAAGUGUCCAGGAGGCAACUGGAUGUGUGAGGCUGACGUCCCAGCGUGGGCUUCUCCAUAUGUCGUCCUGAGGGGUGGGGGAGAGGGAGGCGAUACGGUGGUUCUCAGCUGGGGGAGACGGUGCCCCCCGGGGACACUUGACAAUGUCCAGACGUUUUUGUCGUGGGGAGGUCCAAUGGCUCUCGUGGGCAGAGGCCAGGAAUGCCACUACACAGCCUACAAUGCACAGGACCAUUUUCCACAGCAAAGAAUCACCCGGCUCAAGAGGCCGCGGGGCUAGGGGUGAGGAAGCCUGGAGACCCGGAGGCAGCCGAGGGGCGGGCAGCUGUGCCAGUGCAAAGAGCACGAGCUGGAGUCUGAGUCAGGUUUGACCCGGGCCUCGUACCUGGGGAGUGCUACGGAAACUUCCAGAGCCUCGUUUCCUUGUUUAUAAGGCGGGCUGGUGCCGGCUCACAGGUUUAGUGAUAGGACGCCUGGCUCAUAGUGCACACUUGGUUCACAGCGACCAUGACGCUUGGAGCAGGACCAGAUGCACGUGUCCAGUAAAGGAUCGUCGAUGCCCGCCGUGCGCCAACAUUGUGCUGGCUCAGGGUGCGCGGCAAAUACAGGACAGCCCCUGCCUCCGUGGUUUCCAUGCCAAACACACCUCACGCACACGCACAUGCACCAUCCCAACAUCUGCAGAAAAACAGCAGCCCAUCCGCACAUGCUGCUCGCGGAUCCUGCUGGCAAGUGAGACCGUCCAAAGGCAGCUCCUUGUCUCUCCUGGCAGCUGCAUGUUUUCCUCAGGAAAGAGGCCGAUGGUGGUAUUUCGGCCACAGACUUAGCCCAGAGAAGGAGGGCGUUCCUCCCAUGGGGCUCCAGUGCGCCUUCCUGCCUCUGCUCCCACCUCUGUCCCUCCCUCUGAGAGCUCCCGUGAGCAUCGCAAAUCCACACCCGUCUUCUCUCCUGCACGUCCGCGGUCUGGGGGAGCGUGCUCAAUUUUGAGCCAUCCUCUGUGAAACUCAAAGGGGCAAUGGGUCUCAUACUUCUCACUCUUGUGGGGUAACCGAGGGCUCCUUGAGACAGGGCUCACCAUUCUACACGUGGUCCCACUGCCGGGGGCCCAGAACCUUGGAGCUCACUGCAACUUCGAGUGGGAGCAGGAGAGGGAGAGAAACUGACAUCACCAAGCAUCUACCAGCUGGGCAACAUUGGGAAAAUUACUUAACCACUCAGGGCCUCAGUGGCCUGAUCUAAAAAAAUGGUAACACCUGCCUUAUAGGGUUGUUGUGAGAUUAAGUGGCACCAGGCACCAUGUCUGGGACAUGAUAAAGAAAUUGAGAUUCAGAGGAAUGAAGUAAAUUGUUCAGGUUCACAGACCUGGAAGUGAGGGGCUGGAGCUGGAAUCCGGGUCAUCUGCCUCUAAGAACCUUGCUCUUUCAACGAUGCUACUGUCAGAGAUACAACCAGACCCACCCAAACCUCAGAGAGUGGCAUGAUAACUCAGAGACGGCGUGCUACUCUCCCCCUCACUCAGCAGCAUGCGUUGCACAAACCCUCUUUAAAAGCAGUAAGGGAGACCCUGAUUGCAAGUGCCUGCAAUGAGGGCUGCAGAACCCACCAUGUGGGCCGUAAUUAAUAGAGAUGCCAACUGCCAACUAACCAGAAAAACUCCAGCAUCGUCAAUCUGUCCCCUGGCUUCUCACAAGAACUGAUAGAUGAGGAAUUCAGCUCAAAUAUUUAACAAUCAAUAAUUCAAAUGCCUAUCCAACCAUUGCAAGUUGGCAUGUUUAUAAAUAUGAGGGCUACACUCGCUUGCAUUUUACAUGAAACUUAGAGCUGAAUGAAACGCCCCAUAUUUUAUGGGCAAGAAUCUGGAGGAGGAGAUGGAGAUAUCCUUCCGGUCUUGGCCCAACUUGAAUCUACAAAACUUCCAGCUUCCAUCACGCACCAUCGUUCACACCCUCACAUUGCAGGUGAGCAAAUCAACCAGAGAACGUGCUGGAAGCUCAGUUGUGCGGCUGGAGUCAGAGCCUGGUCUGGAGUCAGAGCCUGGUCUCCUCUCCGUCAGCAGCUCCGGGGUGGAACCCAAUGCACAGCCGACGGACAAGGAAGGAUUCACAUUGAGCUUCCGCCAUCUCUCUGUCACCAGAAUGGGUCCCCUCCCAGCCUGUAAUUCAACUCCCUCCUACUUCCCGUCUUCCCAAGAGACACCCAGGAAUGGGGUCUGACUCCGGGAAGACGUUCUGGCCGGGUGGCAGGGGGCUGUGAGCACUGCGUCC